rnacentral:rRNA from 1 species
GGUUGAUCCAGCCAGUAGUGAUAUGCUUGUUUCAAAGAUUAAGCCAUGCAUGUCUAAGUAUAAGCGAACUUAUACAGUGAAACUGCGGAUGGCUCAUUAAAACAGUUUGAAUUUAUUUGAUGAAUGUAUGAGAAUACUACUUGGAUAACCGUAGUAAUUCUAGAGCUAAUACAUGCAACGACGCCCGACCGUUUCACUACGGAAGGGCUGUAUUUAUUGGAUACCAAAACCAUCCUUCCCUCGGGAAGUUUUGUUUGAUGAUUCACAAUAACUGAUCGGAUCGCCACUGUGGUGGCGACAGGUCAUACAACAUUCUGCCCUAUCAGCUUUCGAUGGUUGUGUAGUGGACAACCAUGGCCAUAACGGGUAACGGAGAAUCAGGGUUCGAUUCCGGAGAAGGAGCUUGAGAAUUGGCUACUACAUCUAAGGAAGGCAGCAGGCGCGCAAAUUACCCAAUCCCGAUUCGGGGAGGUAGUGACAAAAAAUAACAAUACCGGGCCUUUUUGGGCUUGGUAAUUGGAAUGAGGGAGAGUUAAACGGACCAUCGGGUAUCCAUUGGAGGGCAAGUCUGGUGCCAGCAGCUGCGGUAAUACCAGCUCCAAUAGCGUAUAUUAAAGUUGUUGCAGUUAAAAAGCUCGUAGUUGGACUUGUGUGCGCUGUCCGCGGGUGGCCUGCGCCCAAAAGGGCGUUUCGGUUCGGCCCCGGUGGCGCCUUGAAAUCUGCAGCUGGGGGGACGUUGGCCUUAACUGGUCGGCGACCGCACGCCGGCUGCUCGGUUACUGUGAGAAAAUUAGAGUGUUCAAGGCAGGCAUUGGGUGCAAUUGAGUACAUUAGCAUGGAAUAAUAAAAUAUGGCUCCUGCCGUAUUUUGUUGGUUUUGACUGGUGGGAGUAAUGAUUGAUAGGGACGGUUGGGGGUGCUAGUAUUGAGCGGCCAGAGGUGAAAUUCAUGGAUUCGCUCAAGACUAACUUAUGCGAAAGCAUUCACCAAGGACGUCCUCUUUAAUCAAGAACGAAAGUUGGGGGAUCGAAGACGAUCAGAUACCGUCGUAGUCUCAACCAUAAACUAUGUCGACUUGGGAUCGGCGGUAGUUUUUUCAUUAAGACACUGUCGGGACCACGGGAGAAAUCAAAGUGUCUGGACUCUGGGGGAAGUAUGGUCGCAAGGCUGAAACUUGAAGGAAUUGACGGAAGGGCACCACCAGGAGUGGAGCCUGCGGCUUAAUUUGACCCAACACGGGGAAACUUACCAGGUCCAGAGAUGUAGAGGAUUGACAGAUUGAAGCUCUUUCUUGAUCACUUCGGUGGUGGUGCAUGGCCGUUCUUAGUUGGUGGAGUGAUUUGUCUGGUUAAUUCCGUUAUC